GUUGUUGUGCCACACGAGUAAAUGACGUUUGCCGAGGAAAAUGUUACAAGAACAUAACAAAUAUAGGAGUUUUCAAAACUCCAUUGUUACGUUUUUUUAUCUCCAAGGUGCGAUUUUGAGUUAUUUCAAGUCAUUCUAAGCCAAUUUCAAUCACAAAAAGAAAUAUGUCUCAGAAUCAAAAUCAGGGUGAUGAGAAGAAUAAAGAAAAAUCGCCUAUGACGUGGCACGGAAUUGUUUGCGAUGGUUCC